AUGUCCAGUGGGCUCAAGAACAAGAAGAAGAAGGGCCACGAGUGGGAUUUGAACGACUGGAGAUGGGAUGGCAACCUCUUCCUGGCCAUGCCGUCGCCAAACGCGGACGCUCCGUCGGGGUGCGGCAGCAGGGAGCUUGGGCGAGCAGAGGAGGGGGGCAGUUUUGGUGCUGCUGCUGCUGACAAGAGGAGGAGGAGGAGGAGAGUCACCACAGUGGAUAACCCCGAGGAGUGCAGCAACACUGCGAUUCCUCAUGAAAGGAUUGCUGUUCGGGGAGGACAGAUCGGCGAAGAAGAGGGACCUGCUAGUGCAGCAGCAGGUGCAUCUUCCAGCUCUGCUCCAUCUUGCCAAGUCGACGGCUGCCACGCGGAUCUGGGCGACGACAGGGACUACCAUAGGAGGCACAAGGUGUGUGAACCGCAUACCAAGUCGACUCUUGUUCGUAUCAGAAACAUAGAGCAUCGGUUCUGCCAGCAGUGCAGCAGGUUUCACCUUGUUCAAGAAUUUGAUGAAGGGAAGAAGAGCUGCCGCUCACGUCUGGCAACACAUAAUAGAAGGAGGAGGAAAGCCCCAGCCGAGGCUGUGAAUUCCUUGGGUGAAAAUCAGUCCUUGACCAACACCUUGCUCCUCUUAUUGAGACAACUCGCUGGACAAGAUUCUGCUGCUAGCUCAUCUGAGCAAAUCAAUGGUCCCAAUCUUUUGGUUAGUCUUUUGAAGAACCUUGCUGCUGUUGCUGGCACACAGGCAUGUCAAGAUAUGCUGAAGGAUGCAACAUCAUCAAAUGCUGGUAACUAUGUUGGGAAUCAAAGUAGACCACCAGUUCAUGCAGAAGAGCCUCCUGUGAAAAGACGUGCGCAGAAUUUUGAUCUGAAUGAUGCUUAUGUCGAGGAAGAUGAGAGCCGAACAGAUAAAAUCAUCUUCAAGCUCUUUGGUAAACAGCCAAAUGAUUUUCCUGCUGAUCUACGUGCACAGAUCCUAAACUGGCUAUCACAUUAUCCAAGUGACAUGGAAAGCUAUAUCAGGCCUGGUUGUGUAAUUCUAACUAUUUACCUUCGUCUUCCUAACUGGAUGUGGGAUAAGCUUAAUGUCGAUCCAGCUCCUUGGAUAGAAAAUCUUAUUAGCAUAUCCACCCGUGGUUUCUGGGAGAAAGGAUGGUUGUAUGCUAGGGUGCAGGACCACCUGACAUUAAGCUGCAAUGGCAGGCUUAUGUUAGUGUCUCCCUGGCAACCUGUAAUAGGCGACAAGCAUCAGAUACUGUGUGUAACUCCCAUUGCGGCUGCUUGUAAUUCGACAGCAAACUUCUCUGUGAGAGGCUUUAACAUAGCUCAACCAGCCACAAAAUUACUCUGUAUAUUUGAUGGGAAAUAUUUAGUCCAAGAAGCAACACAAAAACUACAUGAUGAUACUAGGAUUCAGCAAGGCCCUCAAUGUUUGACCUUUUCUUGCUCCUUCCCUAUUACAAGUGGAAGGGGGUUCAUAGAGGUUGAAGAUUAUGAUCAGAGCAGCAUUUCCUUUCCCUUUGUUGUCGCGGAAGAAUCUAUAUGCUGUGAGAUUCGAAUGUUGGAGGAGAAACUGAAUAUAAUUGCAUUUGGUGAAGGAAGAAAAGAUCUGAUGGCUUCCCGCAGCCAAGCCUUGAAGUUCCUGCAUGAAAUAGGAUGGCUUCUUCAAAGGAGCCACACACGAGCUACAUCAUCUAAGGCUCCACAACAAUUUCGACAUCGUGUUGUGGGUUUUCCUGCUGCAAGAUUUAGAUGGCUCCUGUCCUUUGCAGUUGAUCAGGAAUGGUGUGGCGUCGUAAAGAUGCUGCUGGACACCUUGUUCCAGGGCAAUAUCGAUAUCGCCUCACCAGUUGAGUUUGUCCUGGGAGAGAGCUUAGUAUUCGCAGCUGUCAACAAGCGGUCGAAGCCUUUGGUUGCCAGCCUAUUGAGAUACACAACGAAAUCUGCACCGGUGGGCAGUGGAGCCGUGGCCACACCAGCUCGGUUCUUGUUCACGCCUGACAUGACUGGUCCAUCGGAUAUUACACCUCUCCAUGUUGCAGCUACCAUCAGUAAUGCUGCUGCCGUUUUGGAUGCUCUAACUGAUGAUCCCCAACAGCUGGGGAUCAAAACCUGGAAGAAUGCCCGCGAUGCUAGCGGGUACACUCCAGAGGAUUACGCUCGAAGGAGAGGGCACACGUCCUACAUCCAGAUGGUCCAGAACAAAAUCAACAGCAGGUUACCUGCGGCCCAUGUGUCUGUUUCCAUGACCACCACUGGUAUCGCCGAAAAGCACGCAGAUGCAGGUCGGCCGAGAUCAACUGAUCAGACCGUAUUUGAUGUCGAGAAAAGCCCACCGGGAUGCAGACAAUGUGUCCAGCUCCAGCACAUUGCCUACCGGCCCUGCCCAAACAGGUUCUUGUCGAACAGGCCCGCGGUGCUAUCCUUGGUCGCCAUUGCCGCUGUCUGUGUCUGCGUAGGGUUGAUAAUGCAGAGCCCGCCGGUCAUCCGCGGUUUGCCGGGCCCUUUUCUCUGGAAUCACAUCCGUUGGGGACCCACUUGA
rnacentral:rRNA from 1 species